rnacentral:rRNA from 1 species
UGGGGAAUCUUGCACAAUGGGCGAAAGCCUGAUGCAGCAACGCCGCGUGCGGGAAGACAGCCCUAGGGUUGUAAACCGCUUUCAGCAGGGAAGAAACUGACGGUACCUGCAGAAGAAGAUGCGGCCAACUACGUGCCAGCAGCCGCGGUGACACGUAGGCAUCAAGCGUUAUCCGGAUUUAUUGGGCGUAAAGAGCUCGUAGGCGGUUCGGUAAGUCGGGUGUGAAACUCUGGGCUCAACCCAGAGAGGCCACUCGAUACUGCUGUGACUAGAGUGCGGUAGGGGAGCGGGGAAUUCCUGGUGUAGCGGUGAAAUGCGCAGAUAUCAGGAGGAACACCAGUGGCGAAGGCGCCGCUCUGGGCCGUAACUGACGCUGAGGAGCGAAAGCAUGGGUAGCAAACAGGAUUAGAUACCCUGGUAGUCCAUGCCGUAAACGUUGGGCACUAGGUGUGGGUCUCAACCGAACGAGAUCCGCGCC